CUUGAAUGGUUGACGCUGGUAUUUAUAGAUGCGCGAGAGCCAAAUAAACACUAAUGGAUCUGAAAAGGUCUAAGCCAUCAGGUAUCUAGGAAAAAGAGGAAAGAAGAAGAGAAACGCACAAAAGAUAAAAGUUUGUUUCCAGAGGAUAAGACGUUUGAGCAGUGUUUGGAUGAGUACUAUAAACUGGAUUAUGAGGACAUCAUUGAUGACUUGCCAGGCCGGUUCCGUUACAGGGAGGCGGUACCCAACGACUUCGACCUGACCACUGAUGAGAUCCUAAAAGCUGAUGAAAAGGAGCUAAACCAGUGGUACUAGCUGAGGAAGACUUGCAUGUACAGGAAUGGCAAAAGAUGCCGACGGAUACCAAGGGCAAGGUGGGCAAGAGGGAUCGUCUGAAGAGGUCAGAGGCCAUGAACUGGAAGAUCUCACAGAGGAGAAAUCCGAAAGCAGACAAAGCGGAGGUCCAGGAUCCUGAGAAGCCACUGCAAUGGAGGAGUUCCUGUUUCCUAAGAAGAUGAAAGCGGAAAAGACUCCAGAAACCCAGAAAGAGGACGUGCCCAAAUAAAAAAACUGAAAACCCUAAAUGGCCGAAAAGGCGCCCAGAUGGUCGAUUUCACUUAAUGAAAUGAAUACAUUCAUGCACAAAUACUUUCACAUUCAUCUUUUGUGUUAAGCACUGCCCUCUUGAUCAGUGUUUUCAAUCCAUUAACUGUAUUCGGUGUGAGAUA